rnacentral:tRNA from 1 species
GCCGAUGUGGCGAAAUGGUAUACGCACCUGACUCAAAAUCAGACGCUGAGAGGCAUACCGGUUCGAGUCCGGUCAUCGGCACCA